AAGUAGCAGUUGUGGUGAUAUAAGUAAAAGCUGAGUAAUAUCUAAAUGGAGAAAUAAUAAUCCUUAGACGCCAAACAAAGGUAAGUAGAAGAUCAAAUGCUCGGCUAACAAAAUCAGAAAUUGAGAUCCAGGCGGCAAAAGACGUCAAAAUUGCAGAGGUUCAAAGCUUCUCUGGCGAGUUUGACGAUUAGCGGCCUUGGCAAUCGUCGUGGGUUGACGACAAGAGCUUCAGCUUCUCAGGUGAUGUAGAGGUGGGCGGAGUUCGAUUACGGCUAGAAGAUUAGUGAUCGCGGACACAAAUUGGGUAAGAUUUUCGAUUAGGGCUCGCAGGUUGGGAAAGGGUACGAAAUAUACUCCCGCCAUGAUUCAUUGCUAAUUAACUUCCCGUCGUUAUUCCGCAAUAGACAGACGUCUGUCUUCAAAGUGUCUCCUUAAAUAUCACCUUUUUUUUGGGUUAUUUUUUUUAAUCUUGGUGAUCUUAUAAUUAAUUUGAAAUAAAAGUUUGAACCUGAGUUUUGUGAACAUGCCUUCCUUGAGCUACAAUGGUGGUUGACGCAGAAAUUUGUAAGGGUAGGGGCUAUACAUUCAAAUUUUGUAUGAGAUAAUAAUUUCCUUAUACUUUUUUUAUUUUGGUAGAGGCUUUUGCACGUUAAUUCAUACAAAUUACUAACAAAAUUAUAAUAUUAUACAACUAGAAAAGUAAAAAAAAAUUGGGAAGGGCUUAAGCCCUCCCUCAUGCCUAUGUGUGUCCGCCAGUGGCUAUGAUUAUGUCAUUCAAUGCAGAUAAUCCGAGAUUUGAUUUUAUGAUAGUAAGGAGAUAAGUAUUCUUGAAUGUUACAGAUAAUAAUUCUGCAAAUGGAUAGACGUAAAACGUAAAACCGGUAAUAGAUGAUGGUUGCUUGAUUACAUACCAAUAUACCAUGAUGGUUGGUUAAUUACCCUCAGAAAUCAAUCAUGAUGGUUGCUUCAAGAAAGGGUUUACACAUUUGUACGAUUCAAACUUGUUGUUCGAGCUAACAGGGAUGGUAUAUUGGUAUGUAAUCAAGUAACCAUCAUAAUCGUAAAAAUGGAUAACCCUUUCUUGAAGCAACCAUCUAUUCAAUCUAUACUUUCAUGGGGUUUGCGAAUCCAAUGUUAGCUCGAACAACAAGUUUGAAUCGUACAAUACAAAUGCAGGGUGUAAACACACCACAAGUUCGGUUUGAUUUCUGUUUUUGGGAUGAGCUUUUGCUGUCAACUUUGGUGUAAAAUUAGAUAACUUGUAAUGUUGUAAAUUUCAUUGUGAGAUAAAUAGGAUGAACACUUGUUGUCGAUUUCAAUGGUUAUCGUUUCAAACCAACUUUUCAAAAAUGGUUGCAGCAUUCAAAGUUGUUGACAAUGCUGUUGUAGUAAUUGACUAUGCAGAAACUAAAAGCCGAGUGAGUAACAUCGAAAUGGAGAAUAAAGCAAUCCUUAGACACAAAACAAGAAACAGAGCGGUGGCGGCAAAAAACGUCAAAAUUGCAGAGGUUCGAAGCUUCUCCGGCGAAGUUGACGAUGAACGGCCUUGGCAGUUGACGACGAGAGCUUCAGAUUCUCAGGUGAUAUUGAGAGGUGAACGGAGUUCGAUUACGGCUAGAAGAUCAGGGAUGGGGGACAUAAAUUGGGUAAGAAAUUGAAAUUCGAUUAGGGCUCGCAGACUGGGGAAGGUUCCAUCUUUCCAGCAUUUCAAUGAACUCCAUCGUUGCAUUGCUGACGCCUGACUGUGUCCACCACCAGUUGGUACAUCUUCUUCAAGGGACUGCUAGCUUUUGUAGCUCUGCUCAUCGCCUUCCAGAAUCUUGAGAACACAAGGCAUCUCGGGUCUGCAGUUUGCUUCCCGUUGUGUGCACAGCUGGCCAACGUGAAUGCAUCUUAGUACUUCAUAUAACAUAGCUGGGAAGGAACGUCAUUGCCUCCCCAUUAAGCUAUAUUCCAGACUCUCCUGCCGCAUACAAUCUCUAGGACUAUGAUUCCAAAGCUAUAGACAUCCGAUUUUAGAGAAAAUUUCCCCUGCUCGAGAUAUUCUAGAGGCAUAUUGCUUCUGCAAAGACAGAUAACUUAAAUUUGGUAGUAGAUAAAUUUGGAGAGAUAGCAGAUGACAUAGGAGGGAUAGGCAAAAGAGAGAAGGAUCGUUCCUGCUGUUUCUGUGGUUUCUAGCUCUUGUUGAUUUUAUUGCACAAAUACUAAGAUCA